GCGAACGCUGGCGGCAGGCUUAACACAUGCAAGUCGAACGGGCACUUCGGUGCUAGUGGCAGACGGGUGAGUAACACGUGGGAACGUACCUUUCGGUUCGGAAUAAUCCAGGGAAACUUGGACUAAUACCGGAUACGCCCUUCGGGGGAAAGAUUCAUCGCCGAUAGAUCGGCCCGCGUCUGAUUAGCUAGUUGGUGAGGUAAUGGCUCACCAAGGCGACGAUCAGUAGCUGGUCCGAGAGGAUGAUCAGCCACAUUGGGACUGAGACACGGCCCAAACUCCUACGGGAGGCAGCAGUGGGGAAUAUUGGACAAUGGGCGCAAGCCUGAUCCAGCCAUGCCGCGUGAGUGAUGAAGGCCUUAGGGUUGUAAAGCUCUUUUGUCCGGGAAGAUAAUGACUGUACCGGAAGAAUAAGCCCCGGCUAACUUCGUG
rnacentral:rRNA from 1 species